AGUACGUUCGCAAGACUGAAACUCAAAGGAAUUGACGGGGGCCCGCACAAGCAGCGGAGCAUGUGGUUUAAUUCGACGCAACGCGAAGAACCUUACCAGGACUUGACAUCCCUCGCUAUAGGCGGAAACGUCUAGUUCCCUUCGGGGACGAGGAGACAGGUGGUGCACGGUUGUCGUCAGCUCGUGUCGUGAGAUGUUGGGUUAAGUCCCGCAACGAGCGCAACCCCUAUCCUUAGUUGCCAGCGUAAAGACGGGCACUCUAGGGAGACUGCCGGUGUAAACCGGAGGAAGGCGGGGAUGACGUCAAAUCAUCAUGCCCCUUAUGUCCUGGGCUACACACGUGCUACAAUGGGCUGUACAAAGGGAAGCGAUACCGCGAGGAGGAGCAAAUCCCAUAAAACAGCUCUCAGUUCAGAUCGUAGGCUGCAACUCGCCUACGUGAAGAUGGAGUUGCUAGUAAUCGCCGGUCAGCAUACGGCGGUGAAUGCGUUCCCGGGCCUUGUACACACCGCCCGUCACACCACGAAAGUUGACAACACCCAACGUCGGUGAGCUAACCGCAAGGAGGCAACCGCCUAAGGUGGGGUUGAUGAUUGGGGUG
rnacentral:rRNA from 1 species